rnacentral:rRNA from 1 species
UACAGAGGUCUCAAGCGUUGUUCGGAUUCAUUGGGCGUAAAGGGUGUGUAGGUGGCGCCGUAAGUCGGGUGUGAAAUCUCGGGGCUUAACUCCGAAACUGCAUUCGAUACUGCGGUGCUUGAGGACUGGAGAGGAGACUGGAAUUCAUGGUGUAGCAGUGAAAUGCGUAGAGAUCAUGAGGAAGACCAGUGGCGAAGGCGGCCACCUGGAUCAACACUGACGCUGAGGCACGAAAGCGUGGGGAGCAAACAGG